rnacentral:rRNA from 1 species
AACGAACGCUGGCGGCAUGCCUAACACAUGCAAGUCGAACGAGACCUUCGGGUCUAGUGGCGCACGGGUGCGUAACGCGUGGGAAUCUGCCCUUUGCUUCGGAAUAACAGUUAGAAAUGACUGCUAAUACCGGAUGAUGUCUUCGGACCAAAGAUUUAUCGGCAAAGGAUGAGCCCGCGUAGGAUUAGGUAGUUGGUGGGUAAAGGCCUACCAAGCCGACGAUCCUUAGCUGGUCUGAGAGGAUGAUCAGCCACACUGGGACUGAGACACGGCCCAGACUCCUACGGGAGGCAG